GUUUGCAUUCAGUUUACCAAACGGUGGAAGAAGAGAAGACACACAAUUCAAUGAGCGUGGAUUAUUCAAUCAAGGUAGCAGUAGUUUAAAGACUGAAGAGAUCGACGAAAGCGAAAGUUCUGAAUUGGCAAACUACACAAGAACUAGACAU